rnacentral:hammerhead_ribozyme from 1 species
AUCCAGCCGACGACUCCCAAAUGAGACGAAACACGCGUUCUGGAU